GCCACUUCUGAACUAGAUCAUCCUUUUCAACGGAGCCUAUAAGAAGAUGUGAUACAUGGGCACACAAGCCAAAGGGGAACAUGAGUGAGUUUUUCUUCACGUAGAUGAAAUGGAGACGGGAUGGACCAAAUUAAGACAAUCCCAGCUCCAAGGAGCUUACAGAGGAAAAGGACAAACAAAGAUCUUAUUUCCUUAAAGCUGAGACUACAAGGUUGAAGAUUUCAUCAGGAUAAAUAUGGAAAAGUAAAAGACAGCAGGCUCUUGAGUCUGCCAUGCAGAGAGCAGAGGAAUGACUGUAUAUAAGCCUGACUAAUG